CGACAGCGCUCAGCGACAAAACAGUUUGUAAAAGUUUUGCUUGUUUUUACUGGGUUUAGUGAUAUUGUCAUGGAUUCCUCUGGGUUGGCGAGGCUGUUUCCGAAAUCCGUCUACGUAAGGCGUACUUCACGUCAGUGCCAACCACGGCCGUUUACGAGACGGGAGACACGGCGAUACUGCACUGUUCUGUACACAACCUGGGGGACAGGACGGUCGUGUGGCGGAGAGUGCCAGGCAAGAGCCCUCUGACUGUUGGCGGAAAGACCUGGGUGAAGGACGCUCGCAUCCUGGUGGAGCACAUGCCAAACAGCGAGCAGUGGAACCUGGUCAUCCAGGACGUGCUCACUAAGGACGCAGGGGUGUACGAGUGUCAGGUCAGCCUCAUGGAUGAGAAACUGAGGCAGCACAUCGUACUCGAGGUCAAAGAUGAGUCACUGAAACCAAGUCCUCGCAUACAGAUCGGCGGUGACAAUGUUGUUAGGAAGGGCGAGACGUUGAAACUGUUUUGCAAUGCCAGUUUGCUGGAUGAUGACACUGACGGACUCAAGUGGAUGAAGGACAUGUGGCCUUUGUCGGCAGAUUCUAGGGGGAGGGUGAAAAUAUUCAGUUCUGUGGUUAUUUCCUCCAGGAUAUCGGGCAGCACCAGCAGCGUGCUGGAGAUCGAAAGAACUAGGGAGAGUGAUAGUGGGACCUAUGUGUGCAAGUCGGCAGGGAAUUCGCAAAUGGCGGGGGUCAAAGUGGAAAUAGUAAAUGGUUCUCAAAAUAUUAAAAGAGUUCCAAAUGUUGAACAUUCGAUGAACAUAAAGAGUCAGUCCAUAAAUGAACAUCUCACAGGAUCAGCAAACAGACUUGACCUACACGUCUUUAUAGUGACACUCCUUGGUGGUUUGUACAGUGCUUACAUGUGCACUGUUACUUGAUGGAUGGAAUAUAAGACCUUAUAGGAGUACUCGGUGGUUAUGUGCUGGUACAUACACUCAUGGACACCUGCCUGUUGUGAUGGCGAGAGUCCCUCUGCCCUUUUCUGUUUUCUAAAGCUAUGAUCAUUAACAUAAGUGCGUUCUUUGGAAGCAUACCUUUGUGAAACGCUACGUCAUUUAGAGAGCUAUGAAGGGCAUAUUAACGUCAUGCCAAACAAAUGGUAGUUCUGAGACAUUCGAUGUAUUAUGUGAAUGACAUAUUUGGAUUAAGGGACAUCCAUUUGUAGGAGUGGUCUCGAAACGCCUCACCCUAAGGAUAUACUAUUGCGCGUAUUGCUAAGAACUAUUCAAAGAAACUGAAGAGUGAAACUCAGGAAGAAGAAAUCAUAUGUUUCAUCCUUGUGAACAAACAAUAUGACAUGUUUUCCUGGCUUAAAACUCGACUUUGUUGUUGUUUUGGCUACAGAAUAUGAAGGGAUGUUGUUGUCUUAAUAAGUUGAAUUAAGAAGGCAUUUACGUUUAUAUUCAGAUUCAUAACUAUUCCAAACAUAACUUUCCCAUUGUUUUGGAUGGGUUUUUUUCUUCAAAUUCAGGUUCAUUAUAAAUAGUGUUGUUAUUAUAUAUGCGAAUGAUAUUUUGUCUGAGAAGUAGACUAUAAUAGUGGUGGAUUUUUGAAUGGUGGGGAGGGCACACUGUCAGGUCAAACUAGGGUAUAUGUUGAUUUGUUUGUGGUGGUGAUGGUGGGUGGAGGAGAUGUGUUUGGUUCCAGUUUUCAGUAAUAUCUAAAGAUCUUUCAUCAGGGGCUUAAUUCACAAAGGUCUCCUAGGCUCUACUAGACAACAAAGCAUCCUCUUUGCAAGUCUUUUAGCAUUGCACUGCGAGAUCGCAAAGUUGCGAGAGUUUAGUGAAAUGGGCCCCUGGUAAUGUAUGUGCGUGGAAACCAAGCAUGGUUGUACUUGUGAUAUCAAAACAUGCAUGUUUAUAACUUAUAAACAGACUGAAAGAACUUGGUCACUGAUCGGCAGUGCAUGGCCUAGAGCGAAGGAACGGAGACAGAGAGAGGAAUAAUUACGUGACUGGACAUUUGCAUUACCCACCGGCCUUUAUGGUGUUGCGAUUAAAACAUCCGAAGUAAGACUGAUAGGUACUGGGUUAGCCUCUCGGUACUGACUCCCACCCUGAGCGAGUUCGCCAACCCAUUGGAUUUGUUUAAGACCAUUACACCGACUUCUCUCGCUAACAACUGACCACUAAUUCGCUGUCCUGGACAGAAAGUCUUCAUAGUCGAGGUGGACGCCCAGAACAAUGUGUUUGAAGAUCAAAUGAAUUAUAGUUUAUUUCUGUGACCACAUGGGUGAAUCAACAGACAUCUUUUAAAUACGCACACGCAAAGAGGGGAGAGAGACAGAGAGAGAUGAAAAGUGAUAGAAAGAAAGGGAAAAGACAGAAAAAAAGACCAUGAAUACCAUAUAUAUAUAUAUAUAUGAAUACAAUAACCAUCUACUUGACUAUUUUCUCUCAAAACACUGUUUUUUCAUAGUCAACUAUUUUAUUCAGAAUCUCACCAGACAUGAAUGAAAUAUGCACAUACAUGUAGUUCGUUUACCUUCCAGCGUUUCUAAUUCUAGCUCUUUUUAUUCUCUCUCUUUCUCUUUUUAAUGGAAGGGUGAGGUAGGCGAUUGAGGGAAUGGGUAUUUCAGUCAACUAUGCUCAUCGAUUGCUGUGUCCAAAUGUUUGUUACAUUAGUAGUACUUGCAUAACAUGUAUAAUCAUCUAGGUAAUUUUCUAGUAGAAAAUAAAUGUUACAUAGUCGAUUGCAUUAUGUAAGGUGAUGAUUUGCUGGCUAGUUACUGUUUUAACUGGGAUUGGUCGCUUACGGUGAUACGUGUAUAUCGAUAACAAGUUUCUCAUUAAAUACUUUCUAACCUAUCUACCUCGAGUAUAAACGAAUUGAUUUCAACAGGUCGAUUAUUUGAAACUAUCGCAUUUCAUAAUAUAACUUAAUGUGAAAUCAUUGUACUGUUUAUAUCAUUCGUCAGUAUUCGUAAAUUUGCGAUUAAUAAUCCGUAGGGGAAAAAAACAAAUUUUUGAAAGAUGGGUCAUUUGGUAACGAAUAUACUUACAUUUUAUACAUUUUUUAUGCAAUGUAAAAUUUAAUUUUUAUUCAAAUGGAAAACAGAACUAUUUUCUACAAAAUAUGCAAUGGAUAAUCAAUUCUGAAAUCCAUAAAAUUCCAUAACCGCUAUUUUUCUUAAAUUAUCGUGGGAUGAAAGUACCUGAAGUAUUAUUAUAGGUUGUGGUUCUUCGAUAUUUAAAGAAGCAAUGCCACAUUACUUUAUUUUAUUGGGGGCGGGUGUUCAAAUAAACACACGCGAGGAAUCAUGUGUGGAUCUUUCCAAUUUGAAAUGGAAAAAAAGAGUUAAAGUUUGUUUUGUUUUACGAGACUACAAAGCACAUUGAUUUAUUAAUCAACGGCUAUUGCAUAUCAAACAUUUGGUAAUUUUGACAUAUAGUCUU